GGGGGCACAACGGCUCCUGGGAGCCGUGGCGUUUGCCCACGUGGCGGUAAACACAGUUUGGGAGGACAACCGGCCGUGGGCAGAGCUUGCGAGAAGAGUCAGCCCUCCAUUUUGAGUUGGAGGGAGUGGUGAAGGGAAGAGCUUGGCCUCAGAAGAUUACUGGAAUCCGAAAGUACUGAAGUACAAUUCAUUUGGGAAGCCAGGACCUUAAUGUUGUCUUGAUAAAAUACUCCAAGAAGCUUGAACUUGGAAGACACUCUUACAGAGGGAGGAGAAGUUUGUACUCUUAGGGAUUCCUGCUUCUCACUUCCUCCCCCAUCUGAGGAAUCAGAUAGUCAAGCAGCAGGAAAAAGAAAUAUUUCAAAGUUUUCAUGUUGAAUUUUGUCUAACCUGAUGCUGUGCCUACUUUCUUGUUUUGUUUUGUUGUUUUGUUAUUUUGUUUAAGCAGAAUACUCUCAUCUCAUACAAAAUACAAAUGGAUCCAUGUUUUUCUGGUGCACUCUAUUUAAAAUUACUCCAUUCCCUAAAAUACUUUCUAAUGUAAAUGACACUGUAAUUCUUGAUACAUCAGUUCUUUAACAUUAUUGCUAACUUUCUUAAUAGGACGGUAAGGACUCAUGUGACUCCUUACAGGUAUCUUCUAAAAUAUGUUACGUUCUAUAUGCCUUACAACUCUUAAAUAUUUUACUGGCCAGGAACAUUGUCUACCAGCAGAAAUGUACAAAAAAGGUUACUUGAAAAAAUGUAUUUGAAAAAAAGGUGUCUGUGUGGUUUGCCUAGAGCAGAUUUAAACUCUUGAAAAGGUGAUCACUAGUCACAAUUAUUUAACAAAUAAUUAAUAAGCAGUUAAAUUUGCCAGGUCGACAGAAUAUAAAUUAAUUAAAUCCAUAAACAUUUCUUCACCUCUCCCAAGCCACUUUAUGUACUAGUUAUUUGUAAUUUUCUACUUAUGCUAUCUGUUUGAUGUUGCUCAUAUGGAUGCUUAAAGCAAGCUAAUAAAUGAAGCAAAAAUUCAGAUGAAUUCUUGGCUUUUUGAAACAAAUAGUUUCAUGUGUUUUCCAGAGUUAUUCCUUCAACUGUAAAUAGAUUUUGUUCAUUUCCUUUCUAUAAAGAAAAGGCAGAAACAAUUUACUGUCUUAUGACUCUCACUAUUCUCUACUGAAAUUCUCUUUCCCAGUAUCAGAGAUCUACUACAAUUCCAGUAAUAGGCUGUACUUGGAUUUAUGAGUAAAACACAGUGUAAAUCAUGACAUGAAGACAUGUAAUUCUGUUUUCUGUGACUCAUCAGCUUCUUCCCAGUUCCACCUUCAUAUAAAAAAAAAAAUUCUAUUUUUUUUUUAA